rnacentral:rRNA from 1 species
CAGCAGCCGCGGGAAUACGUAGGUGGCAAGCGUUGUCCGGAUUUAUUGGGCGUAAAGCGAGCGCAGGCGGUUCCUUAAGUCUGAUGUGAAAGCCCACGGCUCAACCGUGGAAGGUCAUUGGAAACUGGGGAACUUGAGUGCAGAAGAGGAGAGUGGAAUUCCAUGUGUAGCGGUGAAAUGCGUAGAUAUAUGGAGGAACACCAGUGGCGAAGGCGACUCUCUGGUCUGUAACUGACGCUGAGGCUCGAAAGCGUGGGGAGCAAACAGGAUUAGAUACCCCUGUAGUCCCUGUCUCUUAUAC